UGUAAACAAAGGUCCUCUUGCUGGAGUUCU
rnacentral:piRNA from 1 species